rnacentral:rRNA from 1 species
CUACGAGCUGCUCCAGUGAGGAAUAUUGCACAAUGGGGGGAACCCUGAUGCAGCAACGCCGCGUGGAGGAUGACGCAUUUCGGUGUGUAAACUCCUUUUAUAUGUCAAGAAAAUGACGGUAGCAUAUGAAUAAGCACCGGCUAACUCCGUGCCAGCAGCCGCGGUAAUACGGAGGGUGCAAGCGUUACUCGGAAUCACUGGGCGUAAAGGACGCGUAGGCGGGUUGGAAAGUCAGGUGUGAAAUCCUACAGCUUAACUGUAGAACUGCACUUGAAACUUCUAAUCUAGAGUAUGGGAGGGGGAGAUGGAAUUAGUGGUGUAGGGGUAAAAUCCGUAGAUAUCACUAGGAAUACCUAAAGCGAAGGCGAUCUCCUGGAACAUUACUGACGCUAAGGCGUGAAAGCGUGGGGAGCAGACAGGAUUAGAUACCCCCGUAGUC